rnacentral:rRNA from 1 species
CGGGUGAGUAACGCGUGGGUAACCUGCCUCAUACAGGGGGAUAACAGUUAGAAAUGACUGCUAAUACCGCAUAAGCGCACGGUCUCGCAUGGGACAGUGUGAAAAACUCCGGUGGUAUGAGAUGGACCCGCGUCUGAUUAGCUGGUUGGUGAGGUAAGGGCUCACCAAGGCGACGAUCAGUAGCCGGCCUGAGAGGGUGAACCGGCCACAUUGGGACUGAGACACGGCCAAACUCCUACGGAAGGCAGCAG